AAAUGUUGGAAAAAAAAGAGGAACAAAAACGUAAAAAAAAAAACAAAAAAACACCGGGACAAGCGACAAAAGCUUCUUACGGUUUAAAUUUUGACCCAGAAAAACAAAAGUUGCAUGGCCGGCGGGAAGACAACACAAGGGUUAAAUAUUACAUCUCACUGCUG